rnacentral:rRNA from 1 species
UACGAGUGCCCCGAGCGUUAUCCGGAAUCAUUGGGCGUAAAGGGUGUGUAGGUGGCCGUGUUAGUCUUUUGUCAAAGCCCGGGGCUCAACUCCGGAUCCACAAAAGAAACGGCACAGCUAGAGGAUGGCAGGGAUGUAUGGAACUCAUGGAGUAGGGGUGAAAUCCGUUGAUAUCAUGGGGAACACCAAAAGCGAAAGCAGUACAUUGGGCCACUCCUGACACUGAAACACGAAAGCGUGGGUAGCGAAUGGG